AACGAACGCUGGCGGCAGGCCUAACACAUGCAAGUCGAGCGAACCCUUCGGGGUUAGCGGCGGACGGGUUAGUAACGCGUGGGAAUAUACCCUUUGGUACGGAAUAGCCUCGGGAAACUGAGAGUAAUACCGUAUGUGCCCUUCGGGGGAAAGAUUUAUCGCCAAAGGAUUAGCCCGCGUUGGAUUAGAUAGUUGGUGGGGUAAUGGCCUACCAAGUCUACGAUCCAUAGCUGGUUUGAGAGGAUGAUCAGCAACACUGGGACUGAGACACGGCCCAGACUCCUACGGGAGGCAGCAGUGGGGAAUCUUAGACAAUGGGCGCAAGCCUGAUCUAGCCAUGCCGCGUGGACGAUGAAGGGCCUUUAGGGUUGUAAAAGUCCUUUCAGAUGGGAAGAUAAUGACGGUACCAUCAGAAGAAGCCCCGGCUAAACUCCGUG
rnacentral:rRNA from 1 species